AAACCGUUCAGGGGUAAACCUGAGAAACCCAAAAGAUCGAAUGGGGAGAUUCAUCGUCGACGGCGUUGGCUACCGUUUGUGCGCGAUGCUCCGGGUGGGACCCUGCGGUUCCAUUAGCGAGGGCACGCCACCUUCGGAUCGAACUUUCUUGCGUCGUAGUCGUGCACUUCUCCCCUAGUAGGACGUCGCGACCCGUUGUGUGUCGGUCUACGGCCCGAGCGGGAGACUGUCGCGUCGCUUCGGCGCACGCGGCAGACCCUCGGUCGCCCGGCCGGCUGCACGACGGUACACCAACGGUAUCGGGCCGCAGCCAAUCCAUUCUCGAAUGUGUGUGCGUCCAUCCCGCCGCAAGCUCGGUCAGUUCUUACCCGGAGGUACGGACCCUGUGCCGUCCCCGGGCCUGGCCAGCUGUUAGCAGGCGGUGUCCUCGGACCGGCCAAACCUCGGAUUACCGGUCGGCGACGCUAUUGCUUUGGGUACUCUCAGGACCCGUCUUGAAACACGGACCAAGGAGUCUAACAUGUGCGCGAGUCAUUGGGAUGCACAAACCUAAAGGCGAAAUGAAAGUGAAAGUCGGCCUUCGCGCCGAUCGAGGGAGGAUGGGCCGCGUAACCAUGCGGCCCCGCACUCCCGGGGCGUCUCGUUCUCACUGCGAGAAGAGGCGCACCUAGAGCGUACACGUUGGGACCCGAAAGAUGGUGAACUAUGCCUGGUCAGGACGAAAUCAGGGGAAACCCUGAUGGAGGUCCGUAGCGAUUCUGACGUGCAAAUCGAUCUUCGGAACUGGGUAUAGGGGC
rnacentral:rRNA from 1 species